UUUUUUUUCCAUUAGCUUUCAAGUUUCUCCAAAAAGGGACUGCUGGAGUUUUAGCAGCUGAGCGGACACGUGUGCAGCAUGGAAAAGUGGUCUUAGUGACAUGAACAGAAUUUUGUUUUUUUUUUUUAAUUGAAAAACCACAAUGAUGACCCCGCUGCAGAAACAUUUCCAUCCUUCGGAGGAGAGAAAAAAAAUGAACACAGCAAACUGUUGCAGACCAAAUUCACACGUGGAGUCACAGAAUGGGGAGACACGUUCCGGGAUUCCAACCGUUAUGGACCAGAGGAACCAAGCGACAGGAUUGCGGUGGCUGGAAACCCCCUGGUGUCGGCUGCUGGCCUCCCUCCCACAUUUUCCCUGCCCUUGCUCACUCUUUCAAGGGUAACUGGAGUCAACGAUGACAAUGGAAAGAGCCGGUAAAGCACCAUAUGGCAUUUGAACUCGGUAUAUAACUUUCUAAAUGCAGUGUGUGAGCUUAACUCAUUCCCUCCCAAAGACGUUGUUAAACGUCUUUUCAGACUUGGUCCGGAAUUUGCUGGUACUGAAUAUAAAAGGCUUGGUUGAAGUUAACAUGAUAAUAUUUGACCUUCAUAAAGGUGUACGGUCGGCAGAUUUGCUGUGAAAAUGUCAACUGUGUCCUCCCCAAAAAAUCCAAAGUCGCUCCUUGGAUGCGGCCAAACAUACGAUCACGCACCAGGGUCUCGGAACUAACCCCUGCUGCAUCUUUUGGCAGCCCGGUGCCGGCCCUGACGCCUCACAUGAUGUCACGCAUGUGCACUUUGGCAGGCAACGGCCUCAGUGACUUCCUCACUUGCCUCACGCAAAAUUGCGGAGGCUCUAUUGUGCAGUGGUAAGAAAUGAGCCUUUGUCCUGUUGACAUUCUUUUGUCCCACACGAGAUCCCAACUUUUUCGCAAAUCACAAUCAUAAAGAAAAAUACGCAUCAACGCUGCAACGUUGCGUUCAAGUGAUACCUUGAGUCGGUCAGACUUGACGCUCAAUAGUGACUGCGUGUAAUUAAUGAUCAAUUACACAUCUAUAUGGUCAAAUGACCGUUAAGAAUGUUAUCAUUUUACUCAAAUCCAUCACCUGCACAGUUCAUAUUUUAAUGACGAUGAUUUGAACCUGGAAUGGAUUGCUUCACUUUGCGUGAUUUCCUAUGGAAUAAUUAUUUUGAAAAUACUCCCAGCCUGGUUUUGGCUGAGCAACGGCUGGCAGGGCUGCUUUUCCUGUGCCACCCCCCUCCCCCCCACCCAAAAAAAAGCAGCACAGUGGAAUAGUAGUUGGCAAGUCUGCUUCUCAAUUAAAUGUUUCUGGGUUUGAA